UCAGACGUGUUUAGUACUUUACGUAACUUUCACUACCGCGUACAAAGCAGACGUGAGAAUGCAGCGAUAUUCUUAAACGUUUAAGAACCAUCCAAUCUGCGUCAUAUGUAAGAAAUAACACAACAGAAGUAAAAAGCAUCUGCAUUAAUAAAACCGAUAUUUUUUACGGAAUAAUUGGAACACGGUCAUUCGACGAACCGAACGUUGGCAAAGAGCUGGGAUUCUUGCUCGUUUGUUCGUUGUUGUAAAUUUAGAUCCACGGUACGCCUGGUUCCACGAACGUAAGCCUUACCAACGACGACAGACGGAAACGAGAGAAAAAAGGAAAACAGCCUCCAGGCUAGCGAACAUCCUAUGUCGCGCAUACGAUUAGUCGUAAAAGAUGAAUAAUCUCCUGAUAAGCCGAUAAGAAUAAAUAACGGACAUGAGAUUAAGACCACUACUAUAGAACUAGAUAUAUUCGUGGCGAAAUAUCAAUAAUGACUGACGUCGUGAUAAUGUUUGAUCGAAUUUCUGAAUAGGAAAAAACACAUUCUCUCUUCCGGUAUAAAUUAUCCCCACCUUUGUGUGCUACUAUCAUGGUCCAGAUAAUGAAGAAUCGUGCCAGGAAUUUCAAGGGAUAAUUAAAAGAUUAAUGUGGUACAUGAGAAGAUGAGAUUGACACGUUUGUUGAGAAAUAGGGCGAAUCAUGGUCAUACAAGAAAUGAUAGACACCGUUUUAGAAAGUAAGAAGGAAGAGCAAGGAGAAAAAAUGGGCUAAAGAAACUGCGGAGAAAACGGGAAAAUUAAACACGUAAUGUCUCCUUUUGUCUUUGCCCAUACUCCAUUUCAGAUAAUCUCUUGUGGAUUUUAAAAUGAAUCGAUGUAAUAUUUACAUCAAGAUAUUAUAUACAAAAAUAGUAUAAAUAAAA